AGAAAAUCGAGUUUCUUUCUUAAGGUUGUUUUGUUUUCGGGUUUGUGUUACAGAUGGACAUCACAGUAAUGGACGACAAUUCAUCGAAGAAGAAGAAGAAAAAGGAGGAAAAGGCAAGAUUUCACGAACUGAAAAAGCAAAAGGCUUUAGAGAAAGCUUCCAAGCUUCAGGCACAAAAAGCUAAUUAACGAACAGUGAAAAGAAGAAACUUCGCAACGAGGACGCCGGCGACAAUGCCAACCCUCCGACCCCAGUCGGCGAGAAGAAACGAUUGUCUUCUCAAAUGGCUAAACACUACAGUCCAAGUGAUGUAGAGAA